AGAAUUCCCUGUUUGGGUCGUUGUGCUCGUUGUGGAGAAGAAGAUGGAGUCCAUGGAUAGUGGUAAUGGAUGGCUUUGCAGCUUUGGGAUUUCGGGGAUCCUGCAGAGCCACAGAUAGAACGCAUAAUUGCAAUGUUGUUGCUGUAUAUUCCUUCACUCUCUUCGCGACUUUAUGUUUUGUGUUACGUUGUUUCAUAUUGAAUAAAAACCUUUUGUAUUGGCA